rnacentral:rRNA from 1 species
UGGGGAAUAUUGGACAAUGGGCGAAAGCCUGACGCAGCCAUGCCGCGUGAAUGAUGAAGGUCUUAGGAUUGUAAAAUUCUUUCACCGGGGACGAUAAUGACGGUACCCGGAGAAGAAGCCCCGGCUAACUUCGUGCCAGCAGCCGCGGUAAUACGAAGGGGGCUAGCGUUGCUCGGAAUUACUGGGCGUAAAGGGCGCGUAGGCGGACAUUUAAGUCAGGGGUGAAAUCCCAGAGCUCAACUCUGGAACUGCCUUUGAUACUGGGUGUCUUGAGUGUGAGAGAGGUAUGUGGAACUCCGAGUGUAGAGGUGAAAUUCGUAGAUAUUCGGAAGAACACCAGUGGCGAAGGCGACAUACUGGCUCAUUACUGACGCUGAAGCGCGAAAGCGUGGGGAGCAAACAGGAUUAGAUACCCCAGUAGUCCCUGAGCGGGCUGGCAAGGCGCAU